UCAACAGACACCAACCAAGCAUGAUCAGGUUCUGCCCUUCUGGCUAAAAUAUAUAAAUUCCUUUUAAAGGAAAACAGGAAUUGCCAAGACAAAAAAGGCAAGAAAACUUUCAUACUCUUUACUUUCACUGUUUUUGUUUGCAUUUGGAUUCUAUACUAUUUCUCCAUUUCAAUUUCAGGAAUUUAAUUCUUUAAGAAAGGUAUUGAAAAUUCAAGUGAAAGACCUGCAAGAGAGCUGUGCCACUUUCUUGUGUAACCUUGCUAUUCAUUUUGGGGUUUAUACAACACAGCGUUAUCUGUCAGUUGUGAGUGCAUGAAAAUAUUGUUGUCUGUUGUUUUGCUGUUAUUAACUUAAUUUUUGUAUUUUCCUCGGAAUUAUUGGAUCAGGAUCAGCAUAGCAAUUAGAACAACUUGGCCUUCUUUUGAUAUCUAAGUUCAAGCAAACUAAUUCUGUGUUUUGACUGAUUUUGUUUAGACCCUGUGUGAAUCCAAAGCUCAGGUUGUCUCACAUCAGAUCAACUUUGGGAAUUGAUGUGGUUAAUAAGGAAGAUAAUUGGCUUGUGAACUAAUCAGAAGUCAGCGAAAAAAACCAAUGUAUUUGAAUGUUAGGGAUCACAUGAUUAAUUGAUUAUUAUCCUGCUCUUUUUUCUAAUCCAGCUAAAACUUUUGCCAGCUUAAAUAAUAGUCUAGUACACAUUAAAGGCCCACUGAAUUAGUGCCAAAAAGGAUAAAGCUUUGCAUUCUUUGCCAUCAUUCUUGUUACUUAUAAAAGAUACAACAUCCUCUUCUCACUCAUAUGAUUGUUGAGGAAACACAAGAGAAACUUGACAUCAUCAAAUUCGAACCUAAAUAAAGUCUAGCUAGAAAGGGGAGAAGAAACCAAUGUCUCAAAUGGAGAGAGAUCUCAGCCGCCGCCGAUCCUUUUAUUUUUCCGGUUGCAUGAUGUCCCCAUCAUGCUUCCCUGUGCAUGAAGAAAUGGAGUACUCACGCAUUCACUAUAGAAGCAGCAGCAGUGACAAGACGAGGAGGAGAUGGAGAAAUCUGCUAAGGAGGUUGGUAAGGGAUGGCAAGAGCAGCAUAUAUGGAUCAAAACCUUUGUCUUUUCACUAUGAUGCUGUUAGCUAUUCACAGAAUUUUGAUGAUGGCUGUCAUCAUGAUGAAUCUGGCCAUGGCCGGCGAGUUUUUCAGGAUGUUAGAUGGGAAGUACAUGAGUAAUGUUGUGUUUGUUUAUGUGUUUUUUUUUAAGUUCAGAUCAUCUUUGUUGUAACUAUAUAUAUAUAUAUAUAUAUAUAUUAAGAUCUGCUAAUUAAGUUUCCAAGAAUCACAUUUCUGCCGAAUUACUGUUUCUGUUGCUUUGUUUUCUUCUUCUUCUUUCCCUCGAAAUGUUUAUGUUAGCUCUGAUGAUUAGAAAUAAUGGAUCUGUGCCUUGGAUGAUGACAUAUUGAAUCUGCGAGGGCCACUGGGGGUGCAUUUUUCAGGUUCCAGGACCGACUGAAAAACAACAGGAGCAAGACCUUCUUGUUCUUCUUAAUCUGCUUAACUAAAUUCUGAUCAUCAGUGAAGAGACAAAAUAACCUUCCAAGAGAAUGUAAUUUCAAAUGUCAUCAGAGACCAUCAGAGUUGCAUGUGAAACUCUAGUUUUUCACAAGCUAAUACGCCAAGAUGGCAAGGAAAAGGAAGCUUCACCUGUCAAUAAAGGUCGCAGAAUUAUUGAAGGCAAAUUGUGGGGUAGAGCCGUGCAAGUUGCAUUGAGUAGGCCUGGAACUGCAUAUGAUCCGUAUGCUUGUCUGAGACUGAUCAGAGUGUGCUUUUGUGAUCAACACUGUUGAUAUAUAUAGCCAAGAAAACAUUGUCAUUUCAUUUGUAAUUUCACCAGUCAAGCUCUGUCUCUUUUUCUGUCGGGGGAAAUUUCCUUCUUAGAUAGAGAAGGCCUUUCCUCAUAAACAUUUCUGUGAUUAACACCAAUUUAUAGUUGUCCUAAUAAUCAUUUAAAAUCUCCUAAUAGAUGUUUAACAUGAAAAAUCAAAUAAUACAGCUUAGCACUGUCUCAAACAAA
rnacentral:sRNA from 1 species